rnacentral:rRNA from 1 species
GACGAACGCUGGCGGCGUGCUUAACACAUGCAAGUCGAACGGAAAGGCCCUGCUUUUGUGGGGUGCUCGAGUGGCGAACGGGUGAGUAACACGUGAGUAACCUGCCCUUGACUUUGGGAUAACUUCAGGAAACUGGGGCUAAUACCGGAUAGGAGCUCCUGCUGCAUGGGGGGGGUUGGAAAGUUUCGGCGGUUGGGGAUGGACUCGCGGCUUAUCAGCUUGUUGGUGGGGUAGUGGCUUACCAAGGCUUUGACGGGUAGGCGGCCUGAGAGGGUGACCGGCCACAUUGGGACUGAGAUACGGCCCAGUCGGCUACGGGAGGCAGCAGUGGGGAAUAUUGCACAACGGGGGGAAGCCUGAUGAAGCAACGCCGCGUGCGGGAUGACGGCUUUCGGGUUGUAAACCGCUUUCGCCUGUGACGAAGCGUGAGUGACGGUAAUGGGUAAAGAAGCACCGGCUAACUACGUG